AGAAAUCAUACAGCAACCGUACUAUCCACCAACAACAGUCGUUCCUCAUGAUGAUGUAAUACAAGCAAUGACCUCUUCAGUCAACCCUGUGUAUGUGGUAUGGUGGAAGAGGUUUGCAUAUUUUCAGUCACAGACUGCUGGAGCUCAGGUCUCUGAAAUGGGAUUUCAAAAUAAUAUUCUAAUCAUGGCUGUAUUUGCUGUACUACCAACUGCAGAACUCAUCAGGUCAUAUUUGAAGGUAUUGUCCUACAAUGGUGAUGAAGAUCAGUGUUUUUUCAAUUCUCGCUGCCUCACUGGAGCUUGGAUAUUUCAUGAUUUUGCACGGGUAUUCACAAAUAUUGGGUAUAUUUGUGGUGGAAUUGCCUUCUCACGUAUAGUUUUGAGACACAGACUGCUGACCUUCAGGGAUCUCGGUCACCCU